rnacentral:lncRNA from 1 species
GGGAGACAAGAAGAGAGGUAAAAGGGAGGAGAGGAGAAGAGAUGAGAGAAGAUGCGAAGAGAAGGAAAGGAGAUGGAAAGAGAAGAGGGGGGAGAAGAUGCGAAGAGAAAGAAUGGAGAUGAAAGAGAAGAGGGGGAGAGGAGAAGAGAAGGGGGAAGAUGAGAGGAGAAGAAAGAAGCAGAGACCGAAAGAGAGGGUAGUAGCGGAAAAGAGAAUCCAAGCAUAUGGUGAUUAGCAACAGUCGAUGGCGUUGACAGCAGUUCAUUGUGAGUGGCAGCAAUGGCUAAGGCUCAUCUCCUCAAUACUCCUACGGGCUGCAGGAAAGAAGCAUUGAUCCAUGGCAAUGAAUGGCCAACCAGAAGAUUCGCAACACUCUCUCGUCGUGAGGGAUCAGGGCUCAUGCUCG